GGGUUGUGAGGUUAAGCGACUAAGCGUACACGGUGGAUGCCCUGGCAGUCAGAGGCGAUGAAGGGCGUGCUAAUCUGCGAUAAGCGCCGGUAAGGUGAUAUGAACCGUUAUAACCGGCGAUACCCGAAUGGGGAAACCCAGUGUGAUUCGUCACACUAUCAUUAACUGAAUCCAUAGGUUAAUGAGGCGAACCGGGGGAACUGAAACAUCUAAGUACCCCGAGGAAAAGAAAUCAACCGAGAUUCCCCCAGUAGCGGCGAGCGAACGGGGAGGAGCCCAGAGCCUGAAUCAGCAUGUGUGUUAGUGGAAGCGUCUGGAAAGGCGCGCGAUACAGGGUGACAGCCCCGUACACAAAAGCGCAUGUGCUGUGAGCUCGAUGAGUAGGGCGGGACACGUGGUAUCCUGUCUGAAUAUGGGGGGACCAUCCUCCAAGGCUAAAUACUCCUGACUGACCGAUAGUGAACCAGUACCGUGAGGGAAAGGCGAAAAGAACCCCGGCGAGGGGAGUGAAAAAGAACCUGAAACCGUGUACGUACAAGCAGUGGGAGCACCCUUCGGGGUGUGACUGCGUACCUUUUGUAUAAUGGGUCAGCGACUUAUAUUCUGUAGCAAGGUUAACCGUAUAGGGGAGCCGGAGGGAAACCGAGUCUUAAUUGGGCGUUAAGUUGCAGGGUAUAGACCCGAAACCCGGUGAUCUAGCCAUGGGCAGGUUGAAGGUUGGGUAACACUAACUGGAGGACCGAACCGACUAAUGUUGAAAAAUUAGCGGAUGACCUGUGGCUGGGGGUGAAAGGCCAAUCAAACCGGGAGAUAGCUGGUUCUCCCCGAAAGCUAUUUAGGUAGCGCCUCGUGAAUUCAUCUCCGGGGGUAGAGCACUGUUUCGGCUAGGGGGCCAUCCCGGCUUACCAACCCGAUGCAAACUGCGAAUACCGGAGAAUGUUAUCACGGGAGACACACGGCGGGUGCUAACGUCCGUCGUGAAGAGGGAAACAACCCAGACCGCCAGCUAAGGUCCCAAAGUCAUGGUUAAGUGGGAAACGAUGUGGGAAGGCCCAGACAGCCAGGAUGUUGGCUUAGAAGCAGCCAUCAUUUAAAGAAAGCGUAAUAGCUCACUGGUCGAGUCGGCCUGCGCGGAAGAUGUAACGGGGCUAAACCAUGCACCGAAGCUGCGGCAGCGAACGUAUCACCCAAGACAACUUUACGGAGUUGACGAUUGACGGAGCGAAGCGACGUCAAAGCGUUCAUUAAAGUCGAGUUGGCUUAGGGAUACGUUCGUUGGGUAGGGGAGCGUUCUGUAAGCCUGUGAAGGUGUGUCGUGAGGCAUGCUGGAGGUAUCAGAAGUGCGAAUGCUGACAUAAGUAACGAUAAAGCGGGUGAAAAGCCCGCUCGCCGGAAGACCAAGGGUUCCUGUCCAACGUUAAU
rnacentral:rRNA from 1 species